AGCUUUGUGCAGUGGCAGUAUAAUAGCCAGUGAGGUUUAUCCGAAGCAUGAUUAUUACUAAUAGAAAAAUUAGUUUUCAAUAAUUUUAGCUUUAAAGAAUUAUGCUUCUGGCAAGAUAGUAUUGUAUCUGUUUUAGCA